rnacentral:lncRNA from 1 species
GAAAGGUACCAACUACCAAAAACACAACUAUAUAUUAGACUCCAAGUUUCCCACUCUUUGAAUGGGCUUAAAUAUUUGAUACAUUUUCUAAACAAAAACAUUUUUUCUUUUACUUUUUCUUACAUAUUCCUUCCUGACGGAGCAAAAGAGAUGAGCAAAUAUGCAGAGAUUUUGGAUGCAUGCGUGAGAAUCGCAGCAAGGUUUCAUUCUCACUGUCCACAAACUGCACGGAUGUACUACCACCCUCCAUCGAGCCACCACCAUAACGGAGUCUCCGGCCACAGCGCCACCGGGGAUGUGUCGACGCCGACGGGGCGUUUUGGUUCCAAAGGUGUUGGGGUUGAUACUACUGACUUUAUUCUUUAUACUAUAGCUUGAUUUGUCGAUUUUCCUUGUUAGAAUUAUUUUUUUUUGACAUACAAUUGUAAUUGGAUUUUCCUUUUAUUCCAACAUCAUGAAUUAUAUACCUUUAAGAUUCUUAUAUUUCUCAAGUUCAGUGCAAUUAGUGUGUGUUUUUAAUUUAUUUAUGUACACAAUUUUUUAUGCUCUUUCAUUUUCAUUUACAAGAAAUUUGCAUCCAUAUCAUGCGGUUCUUUCCCAUUACGGAUGGUGAAGAAUAAAUAAAAAUUCAAGAGGCA